GCCAGGUGCGGUGGCUCACGCCUGUAAUCCCGGCGCCUUGGGAGGCCGAGGCGGGAGGAUCCCUUGAGCCCAGGAGUUUGAGACCAGCCUGGGCAACAUAGGGAGACCCUGCCUCUA
rnacentral:SRP_RNA from 2 species